rnacentral:rRNA from 1 species
CACGUAGGGCGCAAGCGUUGUCCGGAAUUAUUGGGCGUAAAGAGCUCGUAGGCGGUCUGUUACGUCUGCUGUGAAAACCCAGGGCUUAACCCUGGGCUUGCAGUGGAUACGGGCAGACUAGAGGCAGGUAGGGGAGAAUGGAAUUCCCGGUGUAGCGGUGAAAUGCGCAGAUAUCGGGAGGAACACCGGUGGCGAAGGCGGUUCUCUGGGCCUGACCUGACACUGAGGAGCGAAAGCGUGGGGAGCGAACAGG